CCCGCCCCGCCCUUGCCCGCACAGGUGUGGCACCCGCCCGCCCCGCCGCACGGAGCCGCCUGCCCGCGGCCACACGCCAGGCGUCACUCGGGCUGGCGCCGGUCUACCUAGGCAGGCGUGGGACCUGUCGGGGGCUUCACGGCAGCGCGGAAGGCCAGCCUGCAGAGAGGCUGGGCCCAGCGCCCUGACUGACCCAGCCCCGCCACGUCCAAGGUUCCCGCCCUCUGGAGGAAGCCGCGCAAUCACUCCGGGGGCGGGGAGAGACAGACAACUGAGAGGAAGGAGGUACCACGGGCACUCUCUCGCGAGAGGGCCGCAGAGCCGCCUUUGACGGGGGCGUGUACCUGGAGAGCAACGGUAAGGACGGAGCCGACGGCUCCGGCGUCGGGUCGGUUCCGGCAUCGACGUAUCGUUUGGUCGCCCCAGAGAGGAGACAGGUUUCUUCAGCUUGCCGCUGAGGAUGUGGCAUCGGCUGCGCUCACCGCCGCCGCCUCUGUGAACUGCGGGAGUUGGGACAGCGGCCAGGGCUAGAUGGGUGGGACGCGAGUCCUCGCCGAAAGCUUGCCCUGUGCGGGGCGCACUUGGAGGCGAGCUCUGGGCCGUGGCGAGUUUUGCAGCCUAAGGUCUUGGCAGGCGCAUUGCUGUGGGCUGCCGGAGAGCAGGCUGGAGUUCGAGACCGCCCACCGGAGAGCAGGCGAGAGUUCGAGGCCUAGGUACAGCGCAUUUCGCUAGGCAUCCCCAAGAAUAUCCGCGUGAUCCUUGUGGCCAGAGUUUGUUGAGCUAAUAUCCCCAGCCCAAACAGUAGAGCACAUCACAUGUCGGCCACCUGGGAGCGUUGAACCUGGUAGUUACUAGGCGCCCCUGGUGGAAAUAAAACUCAUUAUGCCCUAGUUAUGUCUUAGUGCCUGGGUGACGAUGAUGUAGCGGUUAAAGAUUAACUGAGCGCACUUAGAGGUUGUCUUUGUCUACCUAAGGAAAAUAUCAAUAGAUUAAACCCCCAACCUUAAAGAAUCUCCGUGAAUUUUUCUGAGGAAACGUGCAAUAUUGUCAUACAAAAGGCCCCAAAUAUGCAAACAUUGCUUUUUGUUAAAAGUUUGUUUUGUUUUGCAGUGACAUCUGUUUGAGCAGAUGAAUAUGCCAUUGGGAAAGUCAAGGACUGUCGGAGAGGAGGACAUGGCAGACCUUAACUAAAGUGAGGGGGACAGUAGAGCACUAAAAGUUCUAGGAAAGGAGAUGAACUGCUUAUUCCAUCAGAUGAAAAUAUAGUCAGAACAGAUGAGUAGUAGAACUUAAACAUGCCCGGAGUUGCCAGGAAUUUGCAAAAGCCUUGAUAUAAUUCCUGUUGCUGUAGAAAGACUUUCUACAGUCACUAAUAUAUCAAGUUAUGUUCACUAGAAAAAAAGUUUACUUAGUUUAUAGAAAUGGGCUGAAAAAUCCUAAUUACUUAUCUGUGAGGUUAUUUUCAUGAAGGUUAAUCAUCCAGAAACUAUUAGAGAGCCUCGGAAUAUAUUUCUUCUAAUCUGCUCUACCUAUCCCAUUCAAAGGAGGGAAUCUGAAGAUUUAAGGACAAAGAGCAGUUGAAAACUCAGAGCUGUGGUUAAUGGGAGAAUUUCAAGGAUGGUGAAAAAAACUAACAUCAUUGCAUCCCUGUUUUUUGUAUUCUGGACUUUUUAGUUUAGCUCUUGGUAAACUACAUCAGAAAUUCUUUAUGCUAACUCUAACACACAUUUUGGGGUAUUGCUAAUUUAAUCUUUGAAUACUGUUUUUGCUGUUUCAUGAUUAUAUGUUAUGUCCUACCAGCUAGAUUGCCAACUCUUGACUACUGACUGGAAGUUUAUUGUUUAUUCAGCAAAUAAUGAAUUAAGUCAGUGAAGUGAGAGAUUUCGUGUGUAAGGAUUGUUAACUUGAACAUUUCACCAGUUACACACAGUUCAGCCCUACUUAAAUUUUAAAAAUCAUUGUUGGCACUUGACAUUGUUAUGAGGAGUUUUGUAUUUUCAACUUGUAUUUUGAGAGUGUCCUCAUGUGACUGAAGUAUGUGCUACUCUUCUUAAUUGAAUAACCCCAGAAUCUCCAGAAUUGAUAAUUGGAGGAAAUUCUACUGUUGGAAAGAAUGGAUGGAUUAUACAGCCCUGUUUUUUGACUGUUCAUUUUGUCCUUGGAGUCACUACCACUUGGCCUCAAAGUGUGAACAUGUAACCCUUUCCUUAAUACUUUGCUACACAGCUGAGCAGAAACUGUAAAUUUGGAUCCUUUGUCAGUACAACUUAAAAUGGAACAAUUUCAAUGGCUUAGGGUAAGAUAAGUAUGUAAAGAUACUUUUGUAAUAGAAGAAAAAACAUUGGAUAUUAAAAUCACACAGUAGUACCUGGGUGUGGUGGCUCAUGCCUAUAAUCCCAACGCUUUGGGAGGCCAAGACAGGAGCACUGCUGGAGGCCAGGAAUUUGAGACCAGCCUGGCCAACAUGGUGAAACCUCGUCUCUACCAAAAAAUACAAAAAUCAGCCAGGUGUGGUGGCACAUGCCUGUAAUCCCGGAUACUCGGGAGGCUGAGGUGGGAGAAUCGCUUGAACCAGGGAGGUGGAGGUUGCAGUGAGCUGAAAUCGCAAAACUGCACUCCAACCUGGGCAACAGAGUGAGACCUCCUGUCUCCAAAAAAAAAAAAAAAAAAAAAAAAAAGUGGGUGUGGUUGUGUACACCUCUACUUCCUGCUACUCAGGAGGCUGAGGCUGGAGGAUCUCUUGAGCCCAGGAGUUCAAGUCUGCAGUGAGCUAUAGUUGCACUGCUGCACUCCAGCCUGGGUAGCACAGCGAGACCCCCAUCUCUAAAACAUAAAAGUAAACAGGCUGGGUGCAGUGGCUUACACCUGUAAUCCCAGCACUUUGGGAGGCCGAGGAGGGUGGAUCAUGAGGUCAAGAGUUGAGACCAGCCUGGCCAACGUGGCGAAACCCCAUCUGUACUAAAAAUACAAAAAUUAGCCAGUCGUGGUGCCAGGUGCCUUUAAUCCCAGCUAUUCAGGAGGCUGAGACAGGAGAAUCGCUUGAACCUGGGAGACAGAGGUUGCAGUGAGCCAAGAUCAUGCCAUUGCACUUCAGCCUCGGGGACAAGAACAAGACUGUGUCUCAAAAAAAAAAAAAAAAGUAGAAAACAGAAUAGCAUAAGGAUAAUCUUAUAUACAAAAUAAGACUACUCAAUUUCUGAAUUUUUUUUUUAACUAGAUAUGCCACCUCCUGAUGACAGUGCCCAUUUCGUAACUUGUCUUACUCAGAAACAGCUCUUAGAUAAUUUUACUCUUUAAGUUCAGGUCUGAGCACAGAGGACAAAGAAUUCCCUUGAUUGCCUAUGAAAGAAAGGAUUCUCAACCUUGGCACUAUUGACAUUUUAAGUCAGAUAAUUCUUUGUUGUGGAAGGUUAUCCUGUGCAUUGUAGGAUGUUUAUUUUAUCAGCAUCCCUGGCUUCUACCCAGUAAAUCCCAGUAGCACCCCACCACCAACCAAAACUGUCUCAAAAUGUUGCUAGAUGCCCCUUGGGGACAAAAAUCCUCUCCCUCCCUCCUCCUUGAAUGCCACUGGCACUCCUUGAGCCUACAGAAGGGCUCUUCUCACAAGUUUGAUACCCUGUACCUCCCAGUUGAUAGUGGGAAUUACUUCUCCUUUGAAGACACAAUUCCAGUUACCCUGAGAAGUAUGGCAUUGGCCUUGCUGGCCUCCACCAAAUUACUAUAUCACUGUGUUUGGUAACCCCAGACAUCAUACUAGGGCUUUAAUUUCAGUAUAUAAAUAGUAAAUUAGUAUCCUUGUAUAGGUUAGCUUAAUGAGUUUCAGAAUUCUUCAAGUCAUAUCUUCAUAGGUAGGAUCACUGUGGAGUUAAUGGCAUUUGAACUAUGUACUCAGUACUAUGCUAGUGGUUGGUGCAAGGGGAAGAUACAAAAUAAGGUGUGAUUUUAGCCCAUGAGGAAUUUAUACUUUAUCUGCAGAAGCAAAUUAAUAUGGAACCGUUAGUGAACACCUGGAUAAAACAGAAUGCUAAAUUUUACCCUAGAGGUGCUUGGCCUGGACUUCAAGAAUUCUAAGUGAAUUGAAGUAUGUUCACAGUAAGAAAGGUUAAAAAUGGCUCUGCCCACUUGUAGGCAGAUGGGAAGCUAGGAUGGCAGACUUGCCAAUAUUUGAUAUAUGUAAAAAGUGCAAUCAUGGCCUCUGUUGUUUCCUCUUUUAUCUCGUUCUCUUUAUUAGUCCAGGUUCUCUAGAGGAAUAGAACUAAUAGGAGAUAUAUAUAUAUAUAUAUAUGGAGUUUAUUAAGUAGUAUUAACUCACAUGAUCACAAGGUCCCAGAAUAGGCCAUAUGCAAGCUGAGGAGAAAGGAAGGCAGUCGAGUUUCAAAGCUGAAGAACAUGGAGUCCAAUGUUUGAGGACGGGAAGCAUCCAACAUGGGAGAAAGCUGUAGGCUGGGAGGCUAAGCCAGUCUAGUCUUUUCAUGUUUUUCUGCCUGCUUUAUAUUCUGGUCGUGCUGGCAGCUGAUUAGAUGGUGCCCGCCCAGAUUAAGGGUGGGUCUGCCUUUCCCAGCCCACUAACUCAAAUGUUAAUCUCCUUUGGUAACACUCUCACAGACACAUUCAGGAUCGAUACUUUGCAUCCUUUAAUCCAAUCAAGUUGACUGUAUUAACCAUCACAAGUCCACCACUUGUCAACUUAAACACAUACAUAUCUCCUGAGAUCAUUCAUAAUCUUCAAAUAAAGACAAUAAUAAUGUCAUAAUUACACCUAAUACAACUAUCCUUUGUACAGCUGGAAACACACCAGUCCCCAACCCAAAUGCUAUUACAUAAAGUUAACAAUACUUAAAUGCUGAUAUGAAGUAAAUCUUAAUGUCCCAUGAUAAAAGGAGGCUGGGCGCAGUGGCUCACGCCUGUAAUCCCAGCACUUUGGGAGGCCGAGAUGAGUAAUGGCUUUUGACAGUAAUAGAGGGUCUCAACCUGAUUUUUCUUAAGUUUGCAUAAGGCUUAGGAGAGGAUAAAAUAAGGCAGGAUCUAGAGAUUGGUGAGGAGAAACGGAAGUCCUCAUUCUUGACAGCUCUCAGCACAUGCAGCCCUCCCCACACACACAGUCACACUCACACACACUCACAACCAGAUUCACAUUCCUACCCAUGCACACACUAACACACACUUGUGCACUUAAACUCGUGCACUUACACAUUCACAUUCAUAUACUCACAUGCACACAUUCAAAACACACACAUACUCUACAAACACUCAUGUUGCAAAAGGGGAUUUGUAAGCUGAAUGUUUAGAACUCAGAACACAUAUUUUCACAAAAAUAAUAUUAUGGUCGGGCGCUGUGGCUCACGCCUGUAAUCCUAGCACUUUGGGAGGCUCAGCUGGGCGGAUCACUUGAGAUCAGGAGUUCAGGACCAGCCUGGCCAACAUACUAAAAAUACAGAAAUUAGCCAGGCAUGGUGGUGCAUGCCUGUAAUCCCAGCUACUCGGGAGGCUGAGGCAGGAGAAUCACUUGAACCCAGGAGGCAAAGGUUGCAGUGAGCCGAGAUCCUGCCACUGCACUCCAGACUGGGCAACAAGAGCAAGGCUCCAUCUCAAAAAAAAAGGAAAUAAAAUGAAGAUAUUUUCUUAGUACAAGUGUAUAUAUGCACAAACAUGUUUUUAACAAAAGGAGGAAAUACUCAGGACAAUUACAAUCCUCAUUUCUGCAACUGUUCACUUGGUUGUAGCUGGUAUGGAUGACUAGCCUUCUACUACCCAUUCUGUAUUCCCUUUGCCUUCAGCAAGCACCUCAGCAGGUCGUGGUUUUUUUCCUGGUGGCGUAACCCAAACCUUCAUUUCUGAAGGGUCUGGACCAUUUGUAGUCCUUUCUGGACUGGGCUUUUAUAGUUUCCCAUUGACUUCAACCACAGGGCAUGGUAAUACUAAGAGACACCUUAAUAGAUCUCUGUAUUCCAUGCAUACUCUUCCUUACCUCAGUUGUGGAAUAGUAGACUGAUUUCAUCUUGAUGGUCCAGGUCAAUCACCCCAGCCAACACUGUAACUCCCUUCUUAGACUGUUGACUUAAAAGUAGUAGACUGGGCCGGGCGCGGUGGCUCACACCUGUAAUCCCAGCACUUUGGGAGGCCGAGGCGGGCAGAUCACGAGGUCAGGAGAUCGAGACCAUCCCAGCUAAAAACGGUGAAACCCCGUCUCUACUAAAAAUACAAAAAAUUAGCCGGGCGUAGUGGCGGGCGCCUGUAGUCCCAGCUACUUGGGAGGCUGAGGCAGGAGAAUGGCGUGAACCCGGGAGGCGGAGCUUGCAGUGAGCCGAGAUCCCACCACUGCACUCCAGCCUGGGCGACAGAGCGAGACUCUGUCUCAAAAAAAAAAAAAAAAAAAAAAAAAAGUAGUAGACUGAUUUCAUCUUGAUAGUCCGGGUCAGUCACCCCAGCCAACACUGUAACUCCCUUCUUAGACUGUUGACUUAAAGGUAGGAGGAGCCCCAAGUGUCCAGGUGACAAUCUUAACUUCCUGUUUAAUGGAAUUGCUGUUGUGUCUCCUGGUGGCAGUGUUCCUCCCUUUGAAACUAAGACCUCUAAGCCAGCAGAACGUAAUGUCAUGGGAACAGGAAGCAAAACUUUUGCUAGUGACUCUCUAAGGGUGAUGAUGAGUGGUGCCACUUCCACCCCUUGAUUCCUGGACCUGUGAAUCCUGGCUAUGAGAGAAAUAGUAUCAUAUAUUGGACGCUGAUUCAGGGUAUACAUGGCCUUCUGGAGAACUUUGCCCCAGGCCUGCAAAGUGUUGUCACCUGGUUGAUGUUGUAAUUGUGACUUCAAAAGGCCAUUCCGUUCUAUCAUUCCAGCUGCUUCAGGAUGACGGGGGAACAUGGUAAGACCAGUGAAUUCCAUGAGCAUGAGCCCACUGUCACACUUCUUUAGCCAUAAAGUGAGUGCCUUGGUCAGAGGCAAUGCUGUGUGGAAUACCAUGACAGUGGAUAAGACAUUCUGUGAGUCCACAGAUAGUAGUCUUGGCAGAAGCAUUGCAUGCAGGAUAGGCAAACCGAUAUCUGGAAUAAGUGUUUAUUCCAGUGAGGACAAACCUCUACCCUUUACAUGAUAAAAGAGGUCCAAUAUCAUCAACAUGCCAUCGGGUAGCUGGCUGGUUACCCCAAGGAAUGGUGCCAUUUCGAGGGCUCAGUGUUGGUCUCUGCUGCUGGCAAAUUGGGCACUCUGCAGUGGCCGUAGCCAGGUCAGCCUUGGUGGGUGGAAGUCCAUGUUCCCGAGCCCAUAUGUAACCUCCAUCCCUGCCACCAUGGCCACUUUGUUCGUGGGCCCAUUGGGCAAUGACAGGCGUAACUGGGGAAAGAGGCUGAGUAUGCACAGAAGGGCUCAUCCUAUUCACUUGAUUAUUAAAAUCCUUCUCUGCUGAGAUCACCCAUUGGUGAGCACUCACAUGGGAUACAAAUAUCUUCACAGUUUUUGACCACUCAGAGAGAUACAUCCACAUAUCUCUUUCCCAGAUUUCUUUGUCACCAAUUUUCCAAUUAUGCUUCUUCCAUGUCCCUGACCAUCCAGCCAAACCAUUAGCUACAGCCCAUGAAUAAGUAUAUAAUCGCACAUCUGGCCAUUUCUCCUUCCAUACAAAGUGCACAACUAGGUGUACUGCUUAAAGUUCUGCCCACUGGGAAGAUUUCCUUUCACUGCUGUCCUUCAGGGAUGUCCUAGAAAGGGGCUGUAGUGCUACAGCUGUCCACUUUUGGGUAGUGCCUACAUAUCGUGCAGAAUCAUCCGUGAACCGGGCCCUAGUCUUUUCUUCCUCUGUCAGCUGAUCAUAGGGAACUCCCCAUGAGGCCAUCGGUGCAGGCUCGGGAGAUAAGUCAGGGUGGCAGGAGUGGAGACCGUGGGCAUUUGAGCCACUUCCUCAUGUAACUUAUUUGUGCCUUCAGGACCUGCUCGAGCCUGAUCACGUAUAUACCACUUCCAUUUGAUGAUGGAAUGCUGCUGUGCAUGACCCACUUUACGGCUAGAUGGGUCAGAAGGCACCCAGUUAAUGAUAGUCAGUUCAGGUUGAAUGGUGACUUGAUGACACAUAGUCAAACGUUCCGUUUCCGCCAAAGCCCAGUAACAGGCCAAAAGCUGUCUCUCAGAAGGAGAAUAGUUAUCUGCAGAAGAUGUCAGGGCCUUGCUCCAAAAUCCUAGAGGCCUCUACUGUGAUUCACCUAUGGGGGACUGCCAAAGGCUCCAAACAGCAUCCCUUGAGGUGUCACUGACACCUCAAGCACCAUUGGAUCUGCUGGGUCAUAUGGCCCAAGUGGCAGAGCAGCUUGCACAGCAGUCUGGACAUGUUGUAGAGCCUUCUCCUGGACCCCAGUCAAAACUGGCAGCCUUUCGGGUCACUCAGUAAAUGGGCCAGAGUAACACACCGAAAUGAGGAAUGUGUUGCCUCCAAAAUCCAAAUGGGCCCACUAGGCGUUGUUCCUCUUUCUUGGUAUAGGAGGGGCCAAAUGCAGCAACUUAUCCUUCACUUUAGAAGGAACAUCUCGACAGGACCCACACUACUGGACCCCUAGAAAUUUUACUGAGGUAGAAGGUCCCUGAAUUUUAGUCAGAUUUAUUUUCCAUCUUCUGUGUCACCAGUAAGUCCAGUGUAUUUGCUACUUCUUGCUCACUGGAUCCGAUCAGCAUAAUGUCAUCAAUGUAAUGGACCAGUGUGAUACCUUGUGGAAGCAAAAAGAGAUCAAGUUCUCUCCAAAUAAGAUUAUGACACAGCCAGAGAGUUGAUAUACCACAGAGGUAGUACAGUAAAGGUAUAUUGCUGGCCUUGCCAGCUGAAGGCAGAUUGCUUCUGGUGGGCCUUAUGGACAGGAAUGGAGAAAAAGGCAUUUGCCAAGUCAAUGGCUACAUACCACGUACCAGGAGAUGUGUUAAUUUGCUCAAGCAGUGAAACCGCAUCUGAUACAGCAGCCACAAUUGGAGUCACCACUUGGUUAAGCUUACAUAAUUGACUGUCAUUCUCCAAGAUCCAUCUGUCUUUUGCAGAGGCCAAAUGGGAGAGUUGAACAGGGAUGUGGUGGGAAUCACCACCCCUGUGUCUUUCAAGUCCUUGAUGGUGGCACUAAUUUCCGCAACCCCUCCAGGGAUGUGAUACUGUUUUUUAUUUACUAUUUUUCUAGGUAGAGGCAGCUCUAAUGGCUUCCAUUUGGCUUUUUCCACCAUAAUAGCCCUUACUCUACCAGUCAGGGAGCCAAUGUGGGGGUUCUGCCAGCUGCUAAGUAUGCCUGUGCCAAUUAUGCAUUCUGGCACUGGGAAAAUGACCACAGGAUGAGUCCAGGGACCCACUGGACACACUGUCAGUUGGACCUGAGCUAAAACUUCAUUAAUUACUUGAACUUUAUAAGCUCCUAUGUUAACUAGAGGACCACAGUGACAUUUUGGGUCCCCUAGAAUCAACGUCAGCUCAGAGCCAGUGUCCAGUAGUCCCUGAAAUGUCAGAUCAUUUCCCUUUCCCCAGUGCACAGUUUUACCCUGGUAAAAGGCUAGAGAUCUUCUUGGGGGAGAAUGAGAGAAAGAUUAACAGCAUAAAUUGUCGGUAAUAUAGCGGGGUCCUUCCUCAAGGGGACUGGCCUCCCCUUCAUUCAAGGGGUUUUGGGUCUAUUUCCUGGACCCUCCCAGCUGGGAUGAGUAGGUCUAAAGUGGCUAAUCCACUCCACCAUCCCAAUAUCCUUAAGCCUUUGGAUCCCUUCCUCUACAUUAAAUUGAGAGAGAUCAGGCAUUUCCAGCUCGCUCAUAGUGGGCCAUUUUUUAAUCCAUAUUUCAGCUAACCAAGCAAAUAAACUAUUAGAACCUUUUUUAACUCCCCGAGCUGCAACAUUAAAUGCAGAAUCCCCACUUAGUGGGCCCAAAUCAAUAAAUUCAGCCUGAUCCAACUCUGUGUUCCUUCCACCAUUGUCCCACACCCUUAAUAUCCAUUCCCAUGCCUGUUCUCCAGAUUUCUGCUUAUAUAAAUUAUAAAACUCAAGCAGUUAUUUUCGAGUAUAGUGCACCUCCUCAUGGGUCACACUCUGAACCUCACCUCUAGGGGCCUGCCGGGACUUUAGUCUUGUUAUAGAUCCAGAAGCAAACAAGGGUAUUGGGGGUGGCUCCUGAGGAGAAUCAACGUUAUCUUGCCUGGCAGCUGCCUCAGGGGAGGCCAUCACUGUUGCCUCAGGCAGUGUAGGGUUUAUCUCCUCCGACAAAGGUAGAAAGGCUGAUGACAGUGUGGGUCAGGGAGGGGAUGUUGCCGCUACUUGCUACCCGGGAUGGGGAAGCUGUUUCUUUUGGCAAAAAAAGUUCAUCAGCGUUUACAAGCUCAGUGUCCCCAUUCCAACUUACAGUGUCCCAUUCUUUUCCAAUCAAUGCCCUCACUUUAACAGUAGACACCUGGCAAGGCUGUGCAUGCACCUUUUGUUGCAGGUCAGCCACUUGCCUAAUAAGAGCUUGUGUCUGUUUUUCCACAAUUUCAGUUCUUUCUCUACAGGAGAUAAGACUCUCACUUAGGACAGUCUUAGAUUUGAGGCUCAGUAUCUGCUUCUGGAGCGAGGAGUUAGAAUCCCUUUGGAUUCACUUUGUCCAGUGAACUUAGGAACAACCAACCAACUUAAUUAUGUUCCUUUGUUCUCCACAUAGAGUCAAAGGUAUUAUGUAUAGAGUCACUAAACUCCUUGCCUCUCACAAGUGGUGAAUCAGGAGUGUCAAACGCAUUUAUUUUUCAUAACUCUCUAAAAAGUUCAUGCCAGGCCGGGCGCGGUGGCUCAAGCCUGUAAUCGCAGCACUUUGGGAGGCCGAGGCAGGCGGAUCACAAGGUCAGGAGAUCGAGACCAUCCUGGCUAACAUGGUGAAACCCCAUCUCUGCUAAAAAUACAAAAAAUUAGCCGGGCAUGGUGGUGGGUGCCUGUGGUCCCAGCUACUCGGGAGGCUGAGGCAGGAGAAUGGCGUGAACCCGGGAGGCAGAGCUUGCGGUGAGCCAAGACUGCGCCACUGCACUCCAGCCUGGGUGACAGAGCAAGACUCCGUCUCAAAAAAAAAAAAAGUUCAUGCCAGCGACUAUCAGUGUUCUCCAUACUAUUAGAGUCCUUAGCAUUUUGGGGUCUAAUCAUAUUAAGCAGCCAACUUCAGAAACCCCAAAACCAACAAAAGAACUCCAUCCUUAAUAUUCUGUUCCUGUAGAAUCACUCCUGGUACCAAAAUCUGUAUUAGGUUUCUCUAGAGGGAAAGAACUAAUGGAAUAGAUAUAUAUAUUUAUAUAUAAAGGAGAGUUUAUUAAGUAGUUUUAACUCACACCAUCACAAGGUCCCACAAUAGGCCAUCUGCAAGCUGCAAGAAAGGAAGCCAGUCCGAGUUCCUGAAGAACUUGGAGUCUGAUGUUUGAGGACAGGAAGCAUCCAGCAUAGGAGAAAGGUAUAGGCUGGGAGGCUAAGCCAGUCUAAUCUUUUCACGUUUUUUCUGCCUGCUUUAUAUUCUGAUCAUGCUGGCAGCUGAUUAGAUGGUGCCCACCCAGAUUAAGGGUGGGUCUGCCUUUCCCAGCCCACUGACUCAAAUGUUAAACUCCUUUGGCAACACCCUCACAGACACACACAGGAUCAAUACUUUGCAUCCUUCAAUACAAUCAAGUUGACACUCACUAUUAACCAUCACAUUCUCUUUCUCCUCACCUUUAAAUUGUUUGAUUAUAUACCAUUCUUUGUAUUUGAAACCUCAGCAGGGAAGUAAUAGACAAUUUUUAAAAGAACCUAAGUAGUAAUACAAGAUUUAACAGCUAUAUUAAACUUUAUAACUUGCAGAUAGAGAAGUUGCCUUUAAUGACCAGGAAACAUUUAUAAAAAUUGAUUUUUAAAAUUACACCCAAAAAAUCUCAAUUUUAAGUUACACACUCUGUUAACAGCACUAAAAAUAAUUUUUUAGAUAAAAAGAUAAAAGGAAAUUCAUCUAAUUGGAAGCUAAAGGGAAAAAUGCCUUAAAUCUGGGUCAAGGAGAAAAUCGCAACCGUGAUUGCAGAUUUAUAAACUAUUUAGAAAUUAAUCACAAUGAGAACAAAAAAAAUAGAAACAUGAGAGUUCAGCCAAAGUAGUAUAUAAAGUCACAAUAUUAGAUGUUUAAUAUUAAUCAAUAUAGAAUGAAUGAAAAUGAAACAAAUAGGAGAGGAUUCUAGGAAAAUGGCAGAAUAGGAAGCACCAGAAAUCUGUCUCCUCACCUAGACAAAAAUUACACUGGCAGAGUCUGUCUUAUGUACAGACAAUCCCUGAUUUACGACGGUUUCACUUAUGAUUUUUCAACUUUACAAUAGUCCAAAAAUGUUAUAGAUUUUAGUACGCUUCUCGACUUACAGUGAGGUUAUGUCCCAGAUAAACCCGUUGUAAGUUAAAAAUAAUAUGUCAAAAGUGUGUUUUUGACUUAAGAUAUUUUCAGCUUGUGAUGGAUUUAUCUGGGAUAUAAUUCCGUCAUAAAUCAAGGAACCAUCUGUAUUUUAGAACUGUAGAAUUUAUUGAAACUUGCAGCUUCCAGAGGAAGACUUGGACAGUACAUUGUGGUUAAAUUUUGUCAAUUUCUUUAAAAAAAAAUUAGUGUAAUAGACACUGUCAUAGCCUGAGUCCCUUAGAAAAUAAAGCCUAAGGCAAAAUAUAUAUGCUAAUGCUUUGAAGAGGAUUGCAGAAAUGUCUCCAGUUCUCUGUUCCUCCCUAUAUUCAUUCAUUUGCAAUGUGUCUCUGUAACUCCCCUCAUUAAAGAGUGGAAUCUAUUUCCUCAACCCUGGAAUCUGAGCUAGCCGUGUUAUGAAGUUUUGCCCAAUGGAAUGUGGUGAAAGUGAUCAUGUAGUUGUUUUAAGCGUAACCUUUAAGAAGUCUUGCAUGCUUCCACUUGCUUUUCUGGGAUCCUGCUCAGCUGCUAUAGAACAAACCUGGGCUAGCCUACUGGGAGAUGAGAUUAUGUGGAGCAGCAGUGAGCCAUCUGUCUUAGAAUAGCCGACACUUAGCCAACCUAGCAACUGGGGGAAAAUAUGCGGGAAUGAGUCCAACAGAGACCAGAAGAAUUGCCCAGCGGAGCCCAGCCCAAAUAGCCAAUCUAUAGCAUUGUGACCCAAAUAAAUGCAUGUUGUUUUAAGACCAAAAAAAGGAAAAGAGAGGUGGGGUGCAGUGGCUCAUGCCUGUAAUCCUAGCACUUUGGGAGGUUGAGGUGGAUGGGUCACCUGAGGUCAGGAGUUCAAGACCAGCAUGGCCAACAUGGCAAAAUCCGUCUCUACGAAAAAUAUAAAAUUAGCCAGGCGUGGUGGUGAAUGCCUGUAGUCCCAGCUACUCUGGAGGCUGAGGCAGGAGAACCACUUGAAUCUGGGAGACGGAGGUUGCAGUGAGCCAAGAUCACCUCACUGCACUCCAGCCUAGGUAACAGAGCGAGACUCUGUCUCAAAAAAAAAAAAAAAUUGGUCAAUUUCCAGUCUUGGCACAGCAGCAGCUAACCAUCUCCUACCACUGAAUCUCAUGGCACGCAGCUGUGCACAUGUUCCUAGAGUGGUUUGCACACAGCUUGUAGGAGCUAGGGGGGCAAAAAGUACAUUGUCCUCAAAACGUUAGAUCUGUGCUCUGAUUCCUAACUGCCACUCGUGAUCACAGAGGUGCAGAGAGUCAUUAGCCAUUGUUGCACUUCCAUUGUUGCAAGCCCCUCACCUUCUGGUUGAAGUGACUUCCAGGAGAAUUAAAGAGCUGGUGUUUCCCUCCCCACUCCCAUUCAUUUUUCUCAUUUUCCCCUUUUGGGAGCCAGACAUAAACACAAUUGCAUAUAUGAGAGAAAUCAGAAAGUCAUGGCACAGCCUAGGGGAUGGUGCAGGCUCAGAAAAGACCUCUGAGAAGACCUUAGAUUUAUACUUCAGACUCAUCUUAGGCAAAGAGGGCUUACAACAAUCAAAAAAACAAAAAUAAUAAAAACAGUAACAAAAACAGCAAACCCUGGAGAAGAGGAAGAAUCUGAUUUCCAGAGUUAACACAUUAGUAAAUUCUAAUGUCUGGUUUUCAACAAAAAUAUCACAAAGGAUACAGAGAAACAGGAAAGUGUAACCCAUUCAAAUGAAACCUAAAGAGACUCAAAAAACAAAAGGAAUUUAAAGUCAAGAAAAUUAUUUAUGAACAAAAUGGAAAUAUCAAAAACAGAUAGAAAACCUAAAAGAAACCAAAAAGAAAUUCUGGAGCUAAAAAGUACAAUAACUGAAAUUAAAAAUUCACAAGAGGGAUUCAAAGGCACAUUGAACAGUUAGAAGAAAGAGUCAGAAAACUUGAAGAGAGGAUAAUGGAAAUUAUUGAGUCUGAGGAACAGAAAGAAAAGAGAUUGAAGAAAUGUGAAAGCAGUCUAAGGAACCUGUGCGAUACCUCAACCAGAUCAGCAUACACAUUGUGAUAACUACAGAAGGAGAAGAGAGAGAAAAGGCUGGUGAGAAUAUUUGAAGAAAUGAUGACCAACAGCUUCCCAUAUUUGAUGAAAAACAUGAAUAUGAAUAUCUAAGAAGUUCAAUAAACCAAGUAGGAUGAACUCAAAGAAACACAUACUGAGAUACAUUAUAAUCAAACUAUCAGAAGAGAAUUUUGAAAGCAGCAAAAGAGAAAUGACUCUUCGCAUACAAAUGAUCCUCAAUAAGAUUAUCAGCAGAUUUCUUAUCAAAAACUUUGGAAGCCAGAAGACAAUGAGCUAAUAUAGUCAAAGUGGUAAAAGAAAAAAUUUAGUCUAUCAAUCAAGAAUUCCAUAUCUGGCCAGGCACAGUGGCUCACGCCUGUAAUCCCAGCACUUUGGGAGGCCGAGGCGGGCGGAUCACGAGGUCAGGAGAUCCAAACCAUCAUGGUUAACACAGUGAAACCCCAUCUCUACUAAAAAUACAAAAAAUUAGCUGUGCGUGGUAGUGGGUGCCUGUAGUCCCAGCUACUCCAGGAGAAUGGCAUGAAUCCAGGAGGCGGAGCUUGCAGUGAGCUAAGAUUGCGCCACUGCCCCCCAGCCUGGGCAACAGUACGAAACUCUGUGUCAAAAAAAAAAUAAAAGAAUCCCAUACCUGGCAAAAACUGUCCUUCGAAAUUGAAGUAGAAGAUAAGACUUUCCAGAUAAACAAAAGUUGAGGGAGUUCAUUACCACUAGACCUGCCCUACAAGAAAUGCUAAAUGAAGUCCUGCAAGUUGAAAGGACACUAGACAGUAACUGAACUUGUAUAAAGAAAUAAAGAUAAGUAAAGGUAAAUACAUGGGAAAUUAUAAAAGCUAGUAUUAUUGUAACAAUGGUAUGUAACUCCACUUUUUGUUUACAACAUGACUUGAGACCAAUACAUUAACAAAAACCAAUGAUUAGGCCAAAAGCUAGUGUUAUUGUAACUUUGCUUUUGUUGGGAAAACUCCCUGCCAGGACUGAGAAUUGCCCUCUACAAGUGGAGGCAAAUUACUGAUUUGCCAUCAGACCAAAAAAAAAAGGCAGAUGAUUCCGGGUUGGCAGGUAGUCAAAGAUUUAUCCAGGGGAAAUUUAUAAGGCAGCCUUGGGCAGCAGCAAGACAAGGUAGAUUUCAGUGCUUAUAGUACAUGCCUAUCUAGUCUUUUAUAUCAUGAAGAGGGAAUGGAAGGGGCGGGGGAAGUCACUGAUGGUGUGUUAAGCCGUCUGGUUGUUUUCUUAAUCUGUUUACUCUUUGCUUACAGGAACUGUUUGGGUUUUGUAGAGUCUGGUCAACAUUCCUAAGGAGAGGAGGGAUGUUGCAGACAGCAGCAGUUAUUUUAGCACUGGUAUGCAUUUUUAGGUCACUGCAUGCUACAAUGCACUUUGUGGUCACAUACCCAGAAAACAUUUUCACAACAGGUAACUCCACAUCUUGUUUUCUACUUAAUUUAAGGGACUAAUAGAUUUAGUUUGUUUUGGACACAUGUUAUAUAGAGAUGUAAUUAUGUGAUAUCAACAGCUGAAAGGGGUGGGGGACAGGGCAGUUAAGGAGCAGUUUUUGUAUCUUUUUCAAAUUAAGCUGCUAUAAAUUUAUGUUAGAAGCUUCCUUAUUUAGGAUGUCAAAUGUAAUCCCAUGAUAACACAAAGAAAAUAGCUAAAAGAAGAUAAGAAAGGAAGUUAAAAGUUUCAUUACAAAAAUCAACUAAACAUGAAAGAAGACAGAUAAGAAAUGAGGAACCAAAAAAAGCUGCAAUAUAUAUAGAAAAUAGCAAAAUGACAGAAUUCCCUCAUCAGUAAUUAUUUUAAAUGUAAAUGGGUUAAACUUCAGUGAAAAGACAGAGAUUAGAAGAAUGGGUUUUAAAAAACCAUGAUUCAAGACUCCUGUGCCACAUAACAUUUCAGUCAAUGAUGGAAUGCACAUAGGAUGGUAAUACAAUGGUAAGAUUAUAAUAACGUAUUUUUACUAUAUAUUUUCUAUGUUUAGAUAUACAAACACCAUUGGGUUAUAGUUACCUACAGUAUUUAGUAUGGUAACAUGCCGUAACAGCUUUGUAGCCUAGGAGCAAUAGGCUAUACCAUACCAUCUAGGUUUGUGUAAGUACCUUCUGUGAUAUUUACAUGAUGAUGAAAUUGCAUAACAAUGCAUUUCUAAGAACAUAUACCCAUACAUAAAUGAUACAUGACUGUAUAUGCUGUCUGUAAGAGACUUAAGAUCCAAAGACAAAAACAGGUUAAAAGUGAAAGAAUGGGAAAGGAUAUUCCAUGAAACUAAUUACCAAAUAUUAAGGAUGGCGAUACUAGUAUACAACAAAAUACACUUCAAAGCAAAAAAGAUUACUAAAGACAAAGAAGGACAUUAUAUACUAAAAAACGGUUCAGGAUGAGCACGUUGGCUCAGGCAUGUAAUCGCAGCACUUUGGGAGACCAAGGUAUGAGGGUGCCUUGAGACCAGGAGUUGGAGACAGCCUGGGCAACACAGUGAAACGCUGUCUCUACAGAAAAUUAAAAAAUUAGCUGAGCAUGGUAGCAUGUGCCUGUAGUCUCAGCUACUCAGGAGGCUGAGGCAGAAGGAUAGCUUGAGCCAAAGCACUGGAGGCUGCAGUGAGCUAUGAUCACACCACUGCACUUCAGCCUGGGCGACAGAGCAUGAUCCUGUCUUAAAAAAAUAAAAAACAUAAAAGGUUCAAUACAGCAAGAAGGUUUAACAGUUGUAAACAUGUAUGCUCCUAAUGACAAACCAUCAACAUAUAUGAAACAAAAAUUGACGUAAUUGAAGGGAGAAGUACAAUUCUACAUUAAUAGUUGGAGACUUUAAUAUCCCAAUCUCAGUAGUGGAUAGAACCAUCAAAAUCUAAGCAAGGAAAUAUAGGACUUUCACAACACAAUAAACCAACUAGAUCUAACAACCAUAUACAGAACACUCUACCCAACAAUGAAAUACACAUUCUUCUCAAGUAUACAUAGGAUAAAUUCCAAGAUAGGUCAUAAAUUAAGUCUGAAUUGAUUUUAAAAGACAGCAAAAUAUCUUCCCUGACCACAAUGGGAUGAACUUAGAAAUCAAAAACAAAAAGAAAACUGGAAAAUUUAAAAAUCAUAGAAAUUAACACACUCUUAACCAUUAGAUCAAAAAAGAAACCACCCGGCAUUGGUUGAAAAUCACCCCCCGGCUUUGGCCAUGGCAGCGGGUGAGAUUCGGCGCCCAGAGCCUCCAGGGGCCUCAGCUCACCGCACGCUGACACAUGUGCGGCGGUGAAACCCAGCCCCAACAGGCCCCGCGGCCUCUCCCUGGGUGCGGCCGCUCGCGUGGUCUGGCUCCUGACCCAGGCUGCCGACCCCUAACCCUGUUUUCUCUCCACAGGACACUGGUCUUCCCACACGUGAGACCGAUGUCGCCAGGACCACGGGGUCGGGGGGACUCGGCUGUCCUCCGUCUUUCAAAUAAAGCUGUUUGUCUAAAAAAAAAAAAAAAAAAAGAAACCACAAGACAAAUAAUAAAAUACUUAUAAAGACAAGUGAAAAUGAAAACACAGCAUACCAAAACUUAUGAGACACAACAAAAGCAGUGCCAAGGGGGAAGUUUCUAGCUAUAAAUUCUUACAUUAAAAAAUAAGAGUCUGGUCUGAAGAAAGCAAAAUUAAAAAUUAUUUAAAAAAUAAGAAAAAUAUCAAAUCACCAACCGGACUUUCCAAUUUAAGGAACUGAAAAGGAAGAGCAAACUAAACCCAGAGCUAGCAGUAGAAAGGAAGUAGUAAAGAUUAGAAUAGAUAUAAAUGAAAUAGAGACUAGAAAAAUAAUAUAGAAAAAUCAAAAUGAAACCAAAAGUUGGUUAUUCAAAAAUCAAAAAACUUUGCAAAUCUCUAGCUAGAUCUACUUAUAACAAAGGAGACAAGUCAGAAAUGAAAAUGAAGACAUUACUACCAUUUCUACAGAAAUGAAAAGAGUUAUAGGGGAAUACUGUCAGCAAUUGUCUGCCAAGAAAUUGGAUAACCCAAGUGAAAUGGAGAAAUUCCUAGAAACACUAAACCUACCAGGCUAAACCAUGAAGAAAUAAAAAAUAUGAGUAGAUUUGUAACUACUAAAGAGAUUCAAUCAGUAAUCAAACAUCUCCUGUCAAAGAAAAGCCCUAAACCUGAUGGCUUCACUGAUUAAUUCUACCAAGCAUUUAAAGAAGAACUGUAUCAAUCAUUUCAGACUUCCCAAAAAUUGAAGAUGAGGGCAUACCCUUAACACGUUCUAUGAGGCCAGCAUUAACCUAAUACCAAAGCCAGUAAAGGUACUACAGGAAAACUACAGACCAGUAUCCCUUAUGAAGACUGAUGCAAAAAUCCUCAGAAAGGUACUUGCAAACAGAAUUCAGCAGUAUAGUUAAAGGAUUAUACAGUUUAAGUCAUCACUUAAUGUUGAUAGGUACUUGGAAACUGUGACUUUAAGCAAAUGAUACAUCAGGAAGCCAGUUUUGCCAUAGGCUUGCCAGGCACACUGCCUCACACCUGUAAUCCCAGCACUUUGGGAGGCUGAGAUGGGAGGUUCACUUGAGCUCAGGAGUUCAAGACCAGCCUGGGCAAUAGAGUGAGCCUCGUCUCUACCAAAAACAAAAAAAAAAGCCUGUAGUCCUAGCUACUUGGGAGGCUGAGGUGGAAGGAUCACUUGAAUCCGGGAGGUAGAGAUUACGGUGAGCUGAGGUUGAGCCAUUGUGCUCUAGCCUAGCCAACAGAGGAAGACUCUGUCUCAAAAAAAAAAAAAAAGGCUAAUUUAUAUAAACAAGAAUUAAGUUCCUACAGAUGUUUUAUAAACAUCAUCAAAGUUCUAAAGAAAGACCCAAAACAUCUCCAGUUUUAAACAUUGAAAUAAAUGCAAGCUACAUGUACAUUUAAAAAAAGAUUAAUAGAAACAAGUAAAAUAUUUACCUAAUCUCUGGCAAAUCUAUGAGUGACAAGUGGUUGUAGUAAUGGUGAGUUAAAUCAAAGAGUAAAUGCUUGCAAAGAGAAAAUUGUAAAGAGCACACAGUUCAUAAACAAUAACAGGUCAUGCCUAUAAUCCCAGUACUUUUGGGAGGCUGAGGCCAGAGGAUCCCUUAAGCCCAGGACAUUGAGACCAGCUUGGGCAACAUAGUAAGACAUCAUCUCUACAAAAAAAUUAAAAACACAAAUGAGCUGAGCACGAUGGUGCACACAUGUAGUCCCAGCUACUCAGGAGGCUGCGGUGGGAGAACCACUUGAGUCCCAGAGGUCAAGGCUGCAGUGAGCCAUUUUUGUGUCACUGCACUCCAACCGGGGUGCGAGUCUGUCUAAAAAAACAACAACAACAACAACAAAAUGGAGGAGGCAGAGCAAGACAGCUAAAUAGAAGCCUCCACCAAUUGUGGAGGUGUCUCCUGACAGGGACACCAAAUUUAACCACUAUCUAUAUUAAAAAGCACCUUCAUAAGAACCAAAAAUCAGGUGAGCACUCAUAGUACCUGGUUUUAACUUCAUAUGACUGAAAGAGACACUGAGGAGGGUAGGAAAGACAGUCUUAAAUUGCUAACACCUCCCCUUCCCCAGCCCCCAGCAGUGGCCACGUGGCACACAGAGAGACUCUACAGUUGAAGGAGGGAGAUCGCAGUGAUUGUGGGACUGUGUUGGAAUUUAGUGCUCCCAUGUUGCAGUUGAGAGCAACACUGGGCAGAACUCAGCCAGCAUCCUCAGAGGGAGCAUUUAGACCAGCCCUAGCCAGAGGGAAUUUGCCCAUCCCAGAGGUCAGAACAUGAGUUUCAGCAAGCUUUGCCACCAUGGGCUAACAUGCCCUACAGUCCUAAAUAAACCUGAAAGACGGUCUAGGCCACAAGGACUGCAUCUCCUAGAAAGUUCUUUUUUUUUUUUUUUUUUGGAGACAGAGUCUGGCUCUGUCACCCAGGCUGGAGUGCAGUGGCGCAAUCUUGGCUCACUGCAACCUCCGCCUCCCAGGUUCAAGCAAUUCUCUGCCUCAGCCUCCCGAGUAGCUGGGAUUACAAGUGCCCACCACCAUGCCCAGCUAAUAUUUGUAUUUUUAGUAGAGAUGGGAUUUCACCAUCUUGGCCAGGCUGGUCUUGAACUCCUGACCUCAUGAUCCACCUGCCUCGGCCUCCCAAAGUGCUCGGAUUACAGGCCUGAGCCACCGCACCUGGCCUAGAAAGUUCUAAUGCUGUGCUGGGCUCGUAACUAGUGGACUUGGGGGACACGUGAGCUAGUGAGACACCAGCCCAAACUUAAAAAACAUAUCAAUAUUCAGGCUGGGCACAGUGGCUUAUGCCUGUAAUCCCAGCACUUUGGGAGGCCAAGGCGGGCAGAUUGCCUGAGCUCAGGAGUUCAAGACCAACCUGGCCAACAUGGUGAAACCUCGUCUCUACUAAAAAUACAAAAAUUAGCCAGGUGUGAUUGUGCACACCUGUAAUCCCAGCUAUUCGGGAGGCUGAUACAGGAGAAUCGCUUAAACCCGGGAGACAGAGGUUGCAGUGAGCCGAGAUUGUGCCACUGCACUCCAGCCUGGGUGACAGAGUGAGGCUCUGUCUCAAAAAAAAAAAAAAAUCAAUCAAUAUUCAAGUACAAGGUGGUUAUAGAACACUAAGCCCAUUUAACCCAAAGAAGACUACCUCAAGGCAUUUAAUAAUCAAACUCCCAAAGGUCAAAAAUAAAAAAGGGAUCCUAAAAGCAGCAAGAGAAAAGAAACAACAUACAAUGGAGGCCAGGCAUGGUGGCUUACGCCUGUAAUUGAGCACUUUGGGAGGCUGAGACCAAGUGGAUCGCUUGAGGUCAGGAGUUCAGCCUGGCCAACGUGGCAAAACCCUGUCUCUACUAAAAAUACAAAAAUUAGCCGGGCAUGGUGGUGUGUGCCUGUAAUUCCAGCUACCCAGGAGGCUGAGGCAUGAGAAUCAUUUGAACAUGGGAGACAAAGGUUGCAGUGAGCCAAGAUCGUGCCACUCCACCACAGUCUGGGUGACAAAGUGAGACUCUGUCUCAAAGAAAAGCAAACAAAAAAACCACAUACAAUGGAACUCCAAUAGGUCUGGCAACAGACUUUUCAGUGGAAACCUUAUAGGCCAGGAGAGAAUGGCAUGACAUAUUUUAGGUGCUGAAGGAAAAAAACUUUUACCUUCAAAUAGUAUACCCAGCAAAAAUGUCCUUCAAACAUGAAGGAGAAAUACUUUCCCAGACAGACAAAAGCUGAGGGAUUUCAUCAACACCAGACCUGUCUUACAAGAAAUGCCAAAAGGAGUUCAAUCUGAAAGAAAACGAUGUUAAUGAGCAAUAAGAAAUCAUCUGAAGGUACAAAACUCACUGGUAACAGUAAAUAGAAAAAUACAGAAUAUUGUAACUGUAAUUGAGGUGUGUAAAUGACUCAUAUCUUAAGUAGAACAAUAAAAAUGAAUCGAUCAGGCUGCGUGCAGUGGCUCACGCCUGUAAUCCCAACACUUUAGGAGGUGGAGGUGGGUGGAUCACCUGAGGUCAGGAGUUCCAGACCAGCCUGGCCAACAUGGUGAAACCCGUCUCUACUAAAAAUACAAAAAAUUAGCCAGGUGUGGUGGCAGGCACCUGUAAUCCCAGCUACUUGGGAGGCUGAGGCAGGAGAACUGCUUCAACCCAGGAGGCGGAGGUUGCAGUGAGCUGACAUCACGCCCUGCACUCCAGCCUGGGCGACAGAGUGAGACUUCGCCUCAGAAAAAAAUAAAAAAUUAAAUUAAAAAAGCCUGGGACCUGAUGGCUUCACUGCCAAAUUUUACCAAACAUUUAAAGAAGAGCUAUUACCAAUCCUGCUCAAACUAUUCCAAAAAAUAGAGGAGGAGGGAAUACUUCCAAACUCAUUCUAUGAGGCAAAAUCAGACAAAGAUGAAUCAAAAGAAGAAAACUACAGGCCAAUAUCCCUGAUGAACAUUGAUGCAAAAGUCUUCAAUAAAAUACUAGCAAACCAUAUUCAGCAACGCAUUAAAAAAAUCAUUCAUCACGAUCAAGUGGGAUUUAUCCCUGGGAUGCAAGGGGGUUUCAACAAAUGCAAAUCAGUCAGUGUGAUAAUGUGAUAACAUAUCAACAGAAUGAAGAACAAAAACCAUAUGGUCAUUUCAAUUGAUGCUGAAAAAUCUUUUUAUAAAAUUCAACAUCCCUUCAUGAUAAAAACCCUCAAAUAACUGGGUAUAGAUGGAACAUAACAUAAUAAAUGCCAUAUAUGACAGACCCAUAGCUAGUGUCAUAUUGAAUGGGGAAAAACUGAAAACCUUCUAAGAUCUGGAACACAACAUGGAUGCCCACUGUGACCACUGUUAUUCAACACAGUACUGUAUAUCCUAGAUAGAGCAAUCACACAAGAGAAAGAAAAGGCUUCCAAAUUGGAAAGGAAGAAGUCAAAUUAUUGUUGUUUGCUGAUGAUAUGAUUUUACAUUUGGAAAAACCUAAAGAUUCCACAAGAAGAGUAUUAGGACUGAUAAACAAAUUCUGUAAAGUUGCAGGAUACAAAUAAACAUACAAAAAUAAGUAGCACCCUUUCCACAGCUUCCCAUUCUUUAGAAACCAGGCUGCAUAUUCCCGGUGGUGGCACGCUGGAUUCCAGGCUCUCGCAUCCCCACCAGCCUCCCUGAAGGCAGACGGGUGGCCAUGGAGACCCAUCCAGACUCAUGGUCUUCAGUGCAUUACAGGGUGGGUGAUGCCAGGGUGCCAGACGCCAUGUUUGACCAGAACAUUGGGAAGGUCAUAGCCAUGCUGGAGGUUCUUGUGAGGAGAUGAAUUGGUGAAGAGAGAGGCCAGGAUGAAGAUGCCUCCAGGAGUGGGCCAGUUUGGGACUGGCAGCUCCACCCGGGUUCUGCUCUCACUGCUGAGGGCAGAAGGGUUCACUGGUGAGACCCUUUGGGGGAAGACUGAGGAGGAGGCAAAGCAGCUUGCUGCUUCUAUGUCAGCCAGACUGAUGACAUCUUGCUGCAUCAAGAUGUGGAUCUGGUGGGCAUCAGCAUCUCCCCUCCACUCACCCAGCAGAUACAUGUCAAGGCUCUAGAUUUGUUGUCUGUGUCUAUGAUUGUUUCUGCUGCAAGCUGGCCAGAUGAGUUCCCCUCCUGAGCCUGUGUGAACAGACUCCAUCUUGGUCUGAUAUGGUUUGGGUCUCUGUCCCCACCCACAUCUCACCUUGAAUGGUAAUCCCCAUAAUCCACACGUGUUGAAGGAGGGACCCAAUAGGAGGUGACUGGAUCAUGGGGGCUGUUUCUCCCAUGCUGCUCUCAUGAUAGUGAGUGAAUUCUCAUGAGAUCUGAUGGUUUUAUAAGCGUCUGGCAUUUCCCCUGCUUGCACUUCUCUCUCCUGCCACCAUGUAAAGAAGGUAUCUAUGACAAACCCACAGCCAAUAUCAUACUGAAUGGGCAAAAACUGGAAGCAUUCCCUUUGAAAACUGGCACAAGACAGGGAUGCCCUCUCUCACCACUCCUAUUCAACAUAGUGUUGGAAGUUCUGGCCAGGGCAAUUAGGCAGGAGAAGGAAAUAAAGGGUAUUCAAUUAGGAAAAGAGGAAGUCAAAUUGUCCCUGUUUGCAGAUGACAUGAUUGUAUAUCUAGAAAACCCCAUUGUCUCA
rnacentral:lncRNA from 1 species